GAUGAACGCUGGCGGCGUGCCUAAUACAUGCAAGUCGAGCGAACAGACGAGGAGCUUGCUCCUCUGACGUUAGCGGCGGACGGGUGAGUAACACGUGGAUAACCUACCUAUAAGACUGGGAUAACUUCGGGAAACCGGAGCUAAUACCGGAUAAUAUAUUGAACCGCAUGGUUCAAUAGUGAAAGACGGUUUUGCUGUCACUUAUAGAUGGAUCCGCGCCGCAUUAGCUAGUUGGUAAGGUAACGGCUUACCAAGGCAACGAUGCGUAGCCGACCUGAGAGGGGGAUCGGCCACACUGGACCUGAGACACGGCCCAGACUCCUACGGGAGGCAGCAGUAGGGAAUUUUCCGCAAUGGGCGAAAGCCUGACGGAGCAACGCCGCGGGAGUGAUGAAGGUCUUCGGAUCGUAAAACUCUGUUAUAGGGAAGAACAAAUGUGUAAGUAACUAUGCACGUCUUGACGGUACCUAAUCAGAAAGCCACGGCUAACUACGUG
rnacentral:rRNA from 1 species